AAACCAACCGGGAUUGCCUUAGUAACGGCGAGUGAAGCGGCAAAAGCUCAAAUUUGAAAUCUGGUACCUUCGGUGCCCGAGUUGUAAUUUGGAGAGGGCAACUUUGGGGCCGUUCCUUGUCUAUGUUCCUUGGAACAGGACGUCAUAGAGGGUGAGAAUCCCGUGUGGCGAGGAGUGCGGUUCUUUGUAAAGUGCCUUCGAAGAGUCGAGUUGUUUGGGAAUGCAGCUCUAAGUGGGUGGUAAAUUCCAUCUAAAGCUAAAUAUUGGCGAGAGACCGAUAGCGAACAAGUACAGUGAUGGAAAGAUGAAAAGAACUUUGAAAAGAGAGUGAAAAAGUACGUGAAAUUGUUGAAAGGGAAGGGCAUUUGAUCAGACAUGGUGUUUUGUGCCCUCUGCUCCUUGUGGGUAGGGGAGUCUCGCAUUUCACUGGGCCAGCAUCAGUUUUGGUGGCAGGAUAAAUCCAUAGGAAUGUAGCUUGCCUCGGUAAGUAUUAUAGCCUGUGGGAAUACUGCCAGCUGGGACUGAGGACUGCGACGUAAGUCAAGGAUGCUGGCAUAAUGGUUAUAUGCCGC
rnacentral:rRNA from 1 species